rnacentral:misc_RNA from 1 species
AUGCGACGCCAUGAACCCAUACUCAGCACACGGCUUGUAACUGUAUCAUUGAAAUUUCAAAAACUUUGAAAAAAAAAAUGCUGGCAAAAAUGCAACUUCGUUGGAAUAAAAGUGAAAGCUUAAAGGACAUGACAAGUUUGGAAAGCGUAAUGCCUGGUAGAGGUUAAAGUAAGCAUAUUGAAGACUUCGCUAGGCAGCAAUUUUUGUUUAUAUAUUAACCAAUUACUUAUGUAUUCUCAAUUUGUUAUGGUGAAAUAUUUUUGGAUACGUGCGUAAUUUGACGUCCAUGUUUGUUAAAGAGUCGGUCGAUUUUUUUUCAAAGUGACUAUCGCAGAAUAGCUUGGAUGUAUGGAAAAGACGAACUGUAUAAAUGGCAUUUCACUAUGUUUUGUAUGUUAUUUUGAUAAUUAAAUGUUAAGAAUAUAAGAUUGAGUGGU